CUUCAAACAAAGUUGUGUGACGUCGAGUAAAUACACGUGCGUUUGUCAGGAGCAAUAAAAAAGUGCUAAAUACAGUAAAAAUAAGGAUAGAAAGGAUCGACAUUGGAUUCGAGGAAAUCACUGUCAGUUGACAAGCCCAAGUAUAUAAAACACACUGAAUG